AGGACGAACGCUGGCGGCGUGCUUAACACGUGCAAGUCGAGCGGAAAGGCCCUUUUGGGGGUACUCGAGCGGCGAACGGGUGAGUAACACGUGAGUAACCUGCCCUGGACUUUGGGAUAACCCUCGGAAACGGGGGCUAAUACCGGAUAUGACUUGGCCUCGCAUGGGGUUGGGUGGAAAGUUUUUCGGUCUGGGAUGGGCUCGCGGCCUAUCAGCUUGUUGGUGGGGUGAUGGCCUACCAAGGCGACGACGGGUAGCC
rnacentral:rRNA from 1 species